GGCGGCGCCUGCGGAGAGCGGAGACCCGGCUGGGAGAGCUGGAGCGGCGGCGGGCCCAGGACAUGAGAGACGUGGAAAGCUACGUGGGCCACGUCCGUGCCCUGACAGAAGAGAGGGAUGCCAUUGCCUCUGAGUAUGAGAAGGAGAACGAGCAGCUCAGGUUGGAGCUGGCCCAGCUACAGCUGCAGCAGGAAAGCCAGCUGAAGGAGGUGGAGGAGAUGCUGGAGCAGGAAGGUUUGUCCCAGAUCUCCUGCAGUGCUGCUAGUGAACAGGUGGCCUAUCUCCUGGUGGAGCGGGCGGCGCUGCUGGGACGGCUGGGAUCCCACAGCAGCAUGGACGGGCUCCAGCUCAGGAUAUUCUGAUGCUAUGGUUCCAAGGCCAUCACUUUCCACCUGCUCAUGACUUACGGCCAUGUCUCUGUGGAACCGGAGUCCAGGAAUGCUCUGGGAUUCCAGGAGCUGCUGUUUGUCCC
rnacentral:lncRNA from 1 species